AUUGAACGCUGGCGGCAGGCUUAACACAUGCAAGUCGAGCGGGGUGAUGGUGCUUGCACUAUCACUUAGCGGCGGACGGGUGAGUAAUGCUUAGGAAUCUGCCUAUUAGUGGGGACAACAUCUCGAAAGGGAUGCUAAUACCGCAUACGUCCUACGGGAGAAAGCAGGGGAUCACUUGUGACCUUGCGCUAAUAGAUGAGCCUAAGUCGGAUUAGCUAGUUGGUGGGGUAAAGGCCUACCAAGGCGACGAUCUGUAGCGGGUCUGAGAGGAUGGUCCGCCACGCUGGGACUGAGACACGGCCCAGACUCCUACGGGAGGCAGCAGUGGGGAAUAUUGGACAAUGGGGGGAACCCUGAUCCAGCCAUGCCGCGUGUGUGAAGAAGGCCUUAUGGUUGUAAAGCACUUUAAGCGAGGAGGAGGCUCUUUUGGUUAAUACCCAAGAUGAGUGGACGUUACUCGCAGAAUAAGCACCGGCUAACUCUGUGCCAGCAGCCGCCGUAA
rnacentral:rRNA from 1 species